GAGAGCGGCGACAAAAUGGCGACUGCGACAGAAUAACAGAGUUAGUGCGUGGGUGAAAGGAAUGGAACCAGCGGAGUUGGCAGGAAGGCUUUAUAAACACUUGGUGCAGGCCGAAGAGCCCUAAUAAGAAACCAACGAUCCCGCGCUUGCAGUGAACAGACCGACAAUGUCUGGGUUUCUCCCUCUGCUCGGCCCAGGAGGAGCAGCUGUGCAGCAGGGCGCAUGAGCGGCCAUCUUGGUCCAGGUAGCAGGAGGAGAGAAUGUUGUGAAUUUCUAUCCUGGUGUGACAGGAAUGGAUUUUGGUAACUCCUUUUACAGGGAGUCAGAAGGGGAGGAUUUACACACAGAAAUUCAAACCAAGUUUCCCUUUUCAAUUUCUAACCUGGACUGACACUGACGACUUUUAUGAUCUCUUUUUACAGCUGCUUCCAGUGCUUCUGAUACCUUUCCAGCUGCAGGCUCCCACAGGGGAUUUUAAAUUAGAAAACAGUGAGUAUUAAUCUACAAAUUGAAGGUUUUAGUGCGGUGAAAGGUUGAUGGACUCAGUGAGGAUUUUUUAAAUAAUCUUUUUACUGGAUCUUAAAUGGGAAGGAUUUGCAGACAAGAAAACUGAAACAAAACAUCACACAACGAUCUGACAGAGUCACUCUAUUCAUCGGAGCUGGGAUAUUAUCGGUUUCUGAACGAUAUUCCAAGGUGUUUCACAGGAUCAGAGAAAAGCAGCAUUUGACAUGGAGCCACAUGAAGAGAUAUCAGGGCAGAUCAACAAGUUUACUGAAAGAGGGUAAUAGAAGGGGAGGAUUUGCAGUCGGGAAAUUCAAAGCAAACAUCACAUCUGGAUCUGACAGAGUUACCUAAUUUAUUGUAACCUGAACAUCAUUGGAUUUUGAACAUGGAAGGAAAAGGCACCGUUCACAGUGGGGAGAAACUGUGGAAAUGUGGGGACUGUGGGCAGGGAUUCAGAUUCCCGUCUGAGCUGGAAACUCAUCGACACAUUCACACUGGGGAGAGACCAUUCACCUGCUCCGAGUGUGGGAAAUGAUUCACUCAGUCAUCCAGCCAGAGGACACACCAGCGAGUUCACACUGAUAAGAGGCCUUUUAAAUGCUCAGACUGUGGGAAGUGUUUUAAAAGUUCAGGUGCAAUGAUGUGCCAUCAACAUGUUCAUACUGAUGAGAGACCGUUCAGGUGCUCUCACUGUGGGACUGGGUUCAGGCGAUCAUCUCAUCUCACUGGACACCAAUGAAUUCACACUGAGGAGAGGCCAUUCACCUAUUCCGAGUGUGAGAAGAUAUUCACUCAGGUAUCCAACCUACUCAGACACCAGCAAGUUCACAAGUAACUACACUGAUUGGAUUUAGUUGUGAAACCACAUCCAGGACUGAACCAUGUUCACUGAUGUCUCUUUCUGCUGAUGUUAAUACAAGAAUUUGUUAAUAAUCUGGAAUAUCAUUGGAUUUUGAAUAUGGAAGGAAAAAGCACCGUUCACAAUGCGGCAAAACCACACAUGUGUUCUGUGUGUGGACGAGGUUUCUGCUGAUCAUCUGACCUGUCAAAACAUCAGCGCAGUCACAACAGGGAGAAGCUGUGGAAAUGUGGGGACUGUGGGAAGGGACUUGAUUACCCAUCCCAGCUGGAAAUUGAUCAGCACAGUCACACUGGGGAGAGGCCAUUCACCUGCUUCACUACCUCAUCCAACCUGCUGACACACCAGCGAGUUCACACUGACGAGAGACCAUUCAGGUGGGACUGGAUUCAGGUGAUCAUCUCAGCUCACUGAACACCAGCGCAUUCACACUACGGAGACCGUUCACCUGCUCUGUGUGUGGGAAGGGAUUUACUCGGUCAUCCCACCUGCUGAGACACCAGUGAGUUCACAAGUAACUACACUGAUUGGAUGUUGUUGUGAAAUAACUUCCAAGACUGAACCAUGUUCAUUGAAGUCUCUUUUCUGCUUUUCUGUUAAUAAACUCCAGUUCAGUCAAAGGGGUUUAUAUUCUGGCUAAAAGUCAAAUAAAUUAGCUUUGU